UCAAGAAAACGCUACGCCAUGUGGCUACGUCACGAAUUUUCGUUGUCUGCCAUGCUGCUUACAUGUGCUCUUCUCCUCUGUUGUUGCUUGUUCUAGCUGAAAUCAUCGCCGCUGGACGACGAAAACGAGGACGACGAUGACGAUGAUGGCGAGGCUAGCGAGGACAUGGCAAAUCACGUGCAGGCGUUGCAGACGAACCAGCAAAACGAAGCUCGCGCGCCGGCGCGCACGCUGGCUGCGCGUCAGAGCAUACGUCAUGGCUUUUUGCGAUGAUCACGUGCCCAGUUUGUUUACAAUCCCUCUUCUUCCGUCUCGUUGCUCUCUGAAACCGAAACUGGGACUGGUCGCUACAAAAAAGACUCCAAAUAAUUACCUGUCGCGCUCUGAAGUAAAUGAGGUUUCGUACCGUGA